AGAGUUUGAUCCUGGCUCAGAUUGAACGCUGGCGGCAUGCCUUACACAUGCAAGUCGAACGGCAGCACGGGUGCUUGCACCUGGUGGCGAGUGGCGAACGGGUGAGUAAUGUAUCGGAACGUACCAUUCAGUGGGGGAUAACUAUCCGAAAGGAUAGCUAAUACCGCAUAUUCUGUGAGCAGGAAAGCAGGGGAUCGCAAGACCUUGCGCUGAUUGAGCGGCCGAUAUCAGAUUAGCUAGUUGGUGGGGUAAAAGCCUACCAAGGCGACGAUCUGUAGCGGGUCUGAGAGGAUGAUCCGCCACACUGGAACUGAGACACGGUCCAGACUCCUACGGGAGGCAGCAGUGGGGAAUUUUGGACAAUGGGGGCAACCCUGAUCCAGCCAUGCCGCGUGUAUGAAGAAGGCCUUAGGGUUGUAAAGUACUUUUGUUAGGGAAGAAAAGUCAGCUGUGAAUAAUGGCUGAUACUGACGGUACCUAAAGAAUAAGCACCGGCUAACUACGUGCCAGCAGCCGCGGUAAUACGUAGGGUGCGAGCGUUAAUCGGAAUUAUUGGGCGUAAAGCGAGUGUAGACGGUUAUUUAAGCCAGAUGUGAAAUACCCGAGCCUAACUUGGGAGGUGCAUAUGGAACUGGGUAGCUAGAGUGUGUCAGAGGGAGGUAGAACUCCACGUGUAGCAGUGAAAUGCGUAGAGAUGUGGAAGAAUACCGAUGGCGAAGGCAGCCUCCUGGGAUAACACUGACGUUGAGGCUCGAAAGCGUGGGGAGCAAACAGGAUUAGAUACCCUGGUAGUCCACGCCCUAAACGAUGACAAUUAGCUGUUGGCCCCAUUAAGGGGUGAGUAGCGAAGCUAACGCGUGAAAUUGUCCGCCUGGGGAGUACGGUCGCAAGAUUAAAACUCAAAUGAAUUGACGG
rnacentral:rRNA from 1 species